UAUUUUAUAUAUUAAUUAUAAAUUUUGUGAAUAAAAAUAUUUAAAUUUUAAAUAUUUUUAAUAUUUUCAUAUAAAAUUUAAAAGUAUUAUUAAUAAAUAUGUAAGCAUAGCAUGAUAAAAGUUGAAAUAUUGAUUUUAAAAAUAAAGUUUAGUUGAUUAAACUUAUUUAAUUAUAUUAAUAAAUGUAAUAUUAAUUACUAUAUGUUUAAUUUAUUUUUUAAUGACCUACUAAUUGAAUCAUUGAUCCAUUGGUGAGCUAGUGACUCAUCAACCCGAUCCUUCAGUUGGGUCAAGCUCUGGUUUGGACCGAGUUUAAUAACUAUGCUUAAAUGGGUUCUUCCAAAUGGAUUUAGAUUUCAAAAGUAGUUUUGUUGAUUUUCACUGGACAUAUUUAGUUGCACCCUUGAAUAAAAGGGUGUCCCAGUGUACGAGGCUUCCUACAUUGCAGGCUAUGGGAGAGUUAGUUGUACCUUCUAAAUCAUGGGGAGAAAUAGUAUCCAAGAAAGCCACCUCACACUUCUAUUACAGUGUGAGUGUGUCAAAUGACUGUCAAUGUAACUAGUGUGCUUUCUCUUGCAG
rnacentral:misc_RNA from 1 species